rnacentral:rRNA from 1 species
UACGUAGGGUGCAAGCGUUAAUCGGCAUUACUGGGCGUAAAGCGUGCGCAGGCGGUUAUGCAAGACAGAUGUGAAAUCCCCGGGCUCAACCUGGGACCUGCAUUUGUGACUGCAUCGCUAGAGUACGGUAGAGGGGGAUGGAAUUCCGCGUGUAGCAGUGAAAUGCGUAGAUAUGCGGAGGAACACCGAUGGCGAAGGCAAUCCCCUGGACCUGUACUGACGCUCAUGCACGAAAGCGUGGGGAGCAAACAGG